rnacentral:rRNA from 1 species
GAUGAACGCUGGCGGCGUGCCUAAUACAUGCAAGUAGAACGCUGAAGGAAGGAGCUUGCUCUUUCCGGAUGAGUUGCGAACGGGUGAGUAACGCGUAGGUAACCUGCCUGGUAGCGGGGGAUAACUAUUGGAAACGAUAGCUAAUACCGCAUAACAGUAGAUGUUGCAUGAUAUCUACUUAAAAGGUGCAAUUGCACCACUACCAGAUGGACCUGCGUUGUAUUAGCUAGUUGGUGAGGUAACGGCUCACCAAGGCGACGAUACAUAGCCGACCUGAGAGGGUGAUCGGCCACACUGGGACUGAGACACGGCCCAGACUCCUACGGGAGGCAGCAGUAGGGAAUCUUCGGCAAUGGACGGAAGUCUGACCGAGCAACGCCGCGUGAGUGAAGAAGGUUUUCGGAUCGUAAAGCUCUGUUGUAAGAGAAGAACGAGUGUGAGAGUGGAAAGUUCACACUGUGACGGUAUCUUACCAGAAAGGGACGGCUAACUACG